rnacentral:rRNA from 1 species
GCGAACCAUCUGGUUAAGACGUUGAUCCUGAGCUCACAGUGGNACGUUAAGUCGGUACAGCCUAACACAUGCAAGUCGAACGGCAGCACAGAGGAGCUUGCUCCUUGGGUGGCGAGUGGCGGACGGGUGAGGAAUACAUCGGAAUCUACUCUGUCGUGGGGGAUAACGUAGGGAAACUUACGCUAAUACCGCAUACGACCUACGGGUGAAAGCAGGGGAUCUUCGGACCUUGCGCGAUUGAAUGAGCCGAUGUCGGAUUAGCUAGUUGGCGGGGUAAAGGCCCACCAAGGCGACGAUCCGUAGCUGGUCUGAGAGGAUGAUCAGCCACACUGGAACUGAGACACGGUCCAGACUCCUACGGGAGGCAGCAGUGGGGAAUAUUGGACAAUGGGCGCAAGCCUGAUCCAGCCAUACCGCGUGGGUGAAGAAGGCCUUCGGGUUGUAAAGCCCUUUUGUUGGGAAAGAAAUCCAGCUGGCUAAUACCCGGUUGGGAUGACGGUACCCAAAGAAUAAGCACCGGCUAACUUCGUGCCAGCAGCCGCGGUAAUACGAAGGUGCACAGCGUUUAACUCCGGAAAUUAACNGGGGGCGUAAAAAGCGUUGNCGCUAAAGAGAGGCCACUUUAAAANNU